rnacentral:rRNA from 1 species
UACGUAGGGUGCGAGCGUUGUCCGGAAUUAUUGGGCGUAAAGGGCUCGUAGGCGGUUUGUCGCGUCGGGAGUGAAAACUCAGGGCUUAACCCUGAGCCUGCUUCCGAUACGGGCAGACUAGAGGUAGGCAGGGGAGAACGGAAUUCCUGGUGUAGCGGUGAAAUGCGCAGAUAUCAGGAGGAACACCGGUGGCGAAGGCGGUUCUCUGGGCCUUACCUGACGCUGAGGAGCGAAAGCGUGGGGAGCGAACAGG